rnacentral:tRNA from 1 species
GGGCCGGUAGCUCAGGUGGUUAGAGCGCACGCCUGAUAAGCGUGAGGUCGCAGGUUCGAGUCCUGCUCGGCCCACCA